CAGUAAUAAAAUACAGUCGAAUAACUGCACAACAGAUGUAGGAAGGAAAAAGACACCUUUCAUAUAAUUUAUCACUUCUUAAUCUAAGUGAACUACUAUUUAACUUCAAUAAACAUGCACAAAAAAGCAGUCAGUGAUAUUUAUAAACUGUGUGAAAAAACUGUGGGAGCUAUGUAUGUUCUGACAGGUUCAGUAAAAUGCUCAGUCUGGAUAAAAGAUUUGAAUGUUGUCAGUCCUGCUUUUCAUUCUGGUUACAGCCUCCUCACUGAUGACUACUGCACAAGACAGUAAGUUACAACGAAGGGGAAAUUUCUACCUCCUCAGGCUAAAGUUUGUCAUAUACAGAAAUAGUAAACACCAUUAUUUUGUGAGUAGUUUCAAGGAAAGGUAAAGUUAUGUUGGAGGAUUUUUCAAGUCAAACCAAGAUUUCAGCAUUUCAAUAACUGGCAAACUUUGUUAACUAAACUUAUUUCAACUUUAACUCCCACUCCCACUGUCCACUUUUUUCUUCUUCUUUUUGCAUGAAAUUGCCUCCUACUAGCUGAGUUAAAGACAAAAUAUGCAUUUGCAUUUGAGCUUCAGCCUCUAAACUGUGGAGUCACAGGAGUGCCUCAAUAAAAUAUAAAGAAAGAAAGAAAGAAAGAAAGAAAGAAAGAAAGAAAGAAAGAAAGAAAGAAAGAAAGAAAGAAGGAAAUAAAUGUGGAAAUAUAAAGAGAAAUAAAUAAAUAAAUGUGGAAAUAUAAAGAUAUAUAAAUAAAUGUGGAAAUAUAAAGAGAUAUAAAUAAAUAAAUGUGGAAAUAUAAAGAGAAAUAAAUAAGUAAACAAACAAGCAAACAAAUAAAUAAAUAAAUAAAAAGGAAAAUUUUGUCUUUGCUUUUCCCUUUUCGCUUUUUUUCCUUUUAUUUUUCCAUUUUAUCAUUGUCUUUUCCGUUUUGCAUUUGUUUUUUCAUUUUGUCAUUCCUCAGUCCACCAAGUAAAAGCAAAGACAAUAGCCUUUGCUUUUAAUUGGUGGACUGAGCUGUCAAUCAAAUGGCUCUGGGUGGGGCUUUCUGUCCCGGGUGGGUAGUCAUACCCAUAGACAUGAAUCAGUAGAUAGGACACGCCCCUUUGAGCUGUGUGCCUGCGGCGAGGCUAAGCUAGUGGGGGAAAAGUUUCAGUGCAUUCAGUUGAUGUAGACGGCGUGGAAAAGGAUACAACAAGUAUGCCGUCUCACUGUGCUGCAUACAAUUGCACACUGCGUCGUAAGAUUGAGACAAGUAAACCUGGAAUGACUUUUCAUAGGUUUCCCAGAGACUAUGGGUUGAGGAGGAAUUGGAAGUUUGUCGGCUUAGACCUGGUGUCAUUCCAUCAGUGUUAAACUUCCCGGCUCAUCUUGGAAGAGUACGUGCCAGAAAGACCACGACCAAGCAGCCUUGAGAUCUUAGACAGCGUCUCCCUCAGCCACCAACCACUGGAACACAUCUCCAAAGUUCUGCUGGUCCAGCUCAGCUUCCCCUCAGAAGAAGUGGUGCCACCUGCCAGAUGAAGGAGCCUUUUGAGAGGCAGCUGGCAUCGUGAUUGGACUGUACUUUGGUCUGUUCCAAUCCAGCUUCAGCUCCAGAGACGGCAGGCGGGACGAGUCAACGGAGGCCUGGUGGACGAAGGCAUGCAGCUGAGUACAAUCCAGAAAACAACAGAGGAAGAGUGCAGGGCCAGAACAAACAGAGUAGCAUCGUAUGUCUCUUAGAAAACAUCAUAGUAUAGCCUUUGGUAUGAAAAAACGCCAUCAUAUACAUCAUAUAUUGUACAAAUAACAAGUCAAAGGAAAGAGACAUCCAUUGUAGAAUUGUAGUAAUUGUGGGCUGACUGAUUUACUGAUUAUCAGUAUUUUAUUUUUUACUGAUUUACUGUUAUAAAUAAAUUUAAAAAUGGUGUUA